rnacentral:rRNA from 1 species
GGCUUAACACAUGCAAGUCGGACGGUAGCAGGAGAAAGCUUGCUUUCUUGCUGACGAGUGGCGGACGGGUGAGUAAUGCUUGGGGAUCUGUCUUAUGGAGGGGGAUAACGACGGGAAACUGUCGCUAAUACCGCGUAGAGUCGGGAGACGAAAGUGCGGGACCUUAGGGCCGCAUGCCAUGAGAUGAGCCCAAGUGUGAUUAGGUAGUUGGUGGGGUAAAGGCCUACCAAGCCGACGAUCGCUAGCUGGUCUGAGAGGAUGGCCAGCCACACCGGGACUGAGACACGGCCCGGACUCCUACGGGAGGCAGCAGUGGGGAAUAUUGCGCAAUGGGGGCAACCCUGACGCAGCCAUGCCGCGUGAAUGAAGAAGGCCUUCGGGUUGUAAAGUUCUUUCGGUGAUGAGGAAGGUUGGUGUGUUAAUAGCAUGCCAACUUGAC